GAGGGUACAGCUCAGUGGUAGAGCACAUGCUUAGCAUGCAUGAAGUCCUGGGUUCAAUCCCCAGUACCUCCA
rnacentral:tRNA from 1 species